UACAGAGGGUGCAAGCGUUAUUCGGAAUCAUUGGGCUUAAAGGGCGCGUAGGCGGCGGUGUAAGUUGGAAGUGAAAUCCCAUCGGCUCAACCGUGGAAUUGCUCCCAGUACUGCAUCGCUCGAGGGGGAUAGGGGUCUGCGGAACUACCGGUGGAGCGGUGAAAUGUGUUGAUAUCGGUGGGAACGCCAGUGGCGAAAGCGGCAGACUUGACCCUUCCUGACGCUGAGGCGCGAAAGCUAGGGGAGCAAACGGG
rnacentral:rRNA from 1 species